CUGAAAGGAUUAAGGUGUAGAGAAACAGGUAGCAUGAGAGAGACAUCUUUGAUUUAUUCAUCACUUUGUAAUGUGACAGUAUAAGCAAGGUAAGCAAGCAAUUUUUAAGUAAUAAGUAAACAAUUUCUAUUUUAAAAAGAAGAUUAAAUCCUGGGUUUUAUUAAGGAUUUACCUACCUCUCCACUGAAAUUUUUAAUCUUUUUUACAUUGGCUUUACUGUGGAAACUAAUCAGACUUCAGUUCAUCUCAGGAGACAGAGUCAAAAGCUUGAAUCCUGUGCCCAUUUUUGAUGUGUUGUGUGGUAAUCCAAUUAGAUUCCUGCUUCUACUUACUGAAUUUAAGCCUUAUCAGUGUUGCCACUGCUUAAAAGAAAUCUUGACAUAUUUACCAAUUUGUAUGACCAUUUCUACUGGAUAGUUCUCAAAUAGUUCUGUCUUUGUGUGAGAGUUCAAAUGGAAUGUUUCAGUUAAUCCUUUGGAAAAAAAGCCUCACUUUGUUAAUGGUUUUCAGGUUGAUUGAAAUGGUCACACAUUUUCCUGAGUGUACUGUGCUGUUAUCUUUGCCUUUACAGGUUCACUUCUUCAUUUAUUGGCAAUAUAGACAUUUUCCUUUUUUCACAAAAUAUGGAGUAUGUUUUAAAAAACUUCUCAAGUUUGUGUUGCAAAGCUUCUGAAGAAAGGCCCAGAGCUCAACAAUCUGUUCCAUCCACCUGGCAUUGCUUUUGCAAUUAUAUUGCCUUUUUGAGCCCUUUGUGGCAUGAUCCAUCAUUUUUCAUUUCACUUCCAGUGCCUGAUAGUCAAAGACUGCAGAAAUCCACUUUGCUUUGCUGUGGAGUGAAUUUCCUCACAACAACUGGACAGGAUAUUUCUGCCUCAGAGGAAUGUUGUAAAGACAAGCAUUUGCAGAUUUUUGGGGUUACAAUAUAUGACAGCAGCAGAUGCCAUGUGAGUAUAAAAGUCACCCUAUCAGUGCUGUGCCAUCAAUGUCUUUUGAUGCCAAAGAGUUCUUGUGUUCAAAGUGUUCAAAUUUAAUUAGUGGAAAAUGAUUGCAGCUCAUUGUCUCAGUCUCCUAUUGGAUGUGCUUGCCUUGUGAGCAUCCUGUGAGGGGCAAUGUCUAGUUUUGUACUUCGUGAGCAAACUACACACCCACCCAUACACAAAGUUAUCUCGUGUACCCCAGCUUCUGCUCCACUGCAAGGAGGGUCUUCACCAAAAAACAAUGCAAACUGAGGAAGAACAAGGUAGGAGAGAUAAGAUUGAGGGGCUAACACACAACUGAAAGCCUAAAAUGAAUGGUUUCAGCAAGAACCUAAUGCAAACUUUCAGCCAAAUCAAAUAAAAAGGAGCAAGUAUCAGUAUGAGAUGUGGCUGCAUUCUGAAAGCUGAACUCUUAAGAAAUAUUUGUAGGAAGUCUUUACUGUGAAAAGCUAAAUUGAUCAUGAAAAAUAGCUCUUGUAAGGUGCAUUUCAUUUUUAGAUAUUGUAUUCUAAAUUUUUGUGGGUUUGUAUGAUUUUAUUUUUCAUUAUAGCACAGUAUGCUAGGUAAUCAGAAAAAUAGUGAAGGAUUUCUGUAAUCAUUUUACAGAAUACAUAUUUUUCUGAAACUGAUUAAAUCUGAGGUUUGGAUUUGUGAUUCACUAAAAGUCUUUCAGCCAGCAAUGGGAGAUACAGUGGUACAAAGACUUCAGAACUGUAAUUUGAUUAUUUCCUACCCUUUGUAAAAUCAGAAUGAGGGUCUGGAUAGAAAUAAUAUCCCUGAUCCUUAUGCCACUACAUAAGGAAGUUACAAUCUGUCUUUUGAA